CCUACAACUUGCAGAUGUGAGCUCUCAACUACUUCUCCAGCACCACGUCCACCUGCCUGCCACCACACUCCCUGCCAUGGUGAUAAUGGGAUAUCCUUUUGAAACUGAGUGAGAACUUGCAGCACUGUGUUGGCAGAGAUGAAAGAGUGUAUUCUUGGCUUAACCCCAUGAUGAGCGGAGCCUGUGAACAAAUGAUGAUGGCUACAGUGAAGACAAUGGAGAAGACGGUAGCGGUGGUGAUGGUGGUGGUGUUGGUGAUUAUUGUGAAGAAGAUGAUAUGAUUAUGAAGAAUAUUAUGAUUAUGAAGAAGAAGGUGGUGGUGGCGGUGGUGACGAUGAUGAAGAUGAUGAUGAUGGUGGUGACAAUGAUUAUGAAGAUGAUAAUGAUAAUAAUUAUGAAGGAACAGCCCCCAUACCAGGUUAAAAGAAAAUCUAGCUUCCUUCUAUGGAUCAGCUCACUGCUUACGGCUUUGGAGUAGACUGUAUCUACUCCAAAAUUCAUGUUGAAGCAUAACCCUCAUGGUGGUGACAUUAGAAGAUUGAGCCUGCCAGGAAGGGCAGUGAACUCCUGCAAUCCUAGCAGUCUGGAGGCAGAGACAGGAGUGAGUUCAUUACAAGACUGUCAUAUACCUCCUGACAAAGAGCCAGGUCCUUUGGAAGAAGCAUCAAAGUCACAGUGGCUCUCCUCCACGAUGGAGGCGCAAACUCCAUUGUCCCUCUGCAGGAUGCCACUGCCAUUCAAGUCUCUUGCAGGCCUCUACACCUGUUUUGCUCUGUAGUGUACAAAGUGUUUACUGGCUCCUCCAAACCUCAUCCUGCAAAACAGAACUGUGGUGAGGUCUGCAGCUGUCCUACUCAGGCCUGUGG
rnacentral:lncRNA from 1 species